UGUUUUGUUUUCCCCUUUGCUUGCCUGUGAUGACCAGGAAGAAGAAGAACGCCUGGCAGAGAUGGGUAAGGAAGAGAAAGGGGAAGAAACAGGACCAGAAAAACAGUGAGGAAGAGCAGGGAGAAGAGAAGCAGCAGUCUCCAGGUCAGGCAAGAAACUGCCCCUCCCAGAGCAGAGUCCCAGAAAAAGGAGGAAGGCGAGAAGUUGGAGUCUCAGGAUCCCAAAGGAAACACAGAAACUGUGAAAGUGGAAGAACCAUCCAAAAGGUCCGGUGACAGCACAGUUACUAAAACAGAGGAGGGGAAGAAACACCCAAGAAGCAGAAGAUUGUCUGUGAGACCCCUGUGGAACUGGUUGCAAAUGAUGUGCCUGACCUGCUGGAGGGCAAACUGAAGAGCUUGAUGAAAAAGGAUGUUUGGAGUGGCUCUGCCGGGUUAAAGCUCCAGACUCCCAGAAUUAAUGAUCAGAGAUCUAGAGAAACAGGAAAGAGAGAAAAUCGGCCAGCAGCUUGGAGUCAUUCAUCUUUGAGACCCA